CUUUCUGGCAUCAAAGUGAGAGAGGUGAUUACGAAGCUGCAGGCAACUUCAUGGUCCCACCCUCAUCAAGCCCUCCAGAUUUCUCACGUCUUAUACUAAGAGAGCUUCGCUUCGUAAAGAAGCAACUGAAAACAAUAACCAAAAAGCUGUUGGAAAGAGAAGAACCUUGCGAGCCAGCUGAAGAAGCCUGUAUUUCA